rnacentral:rRNA from 1 species
ACGCUGGCGGCAGGCCUAACACAUGCAAGUCGAGCGGUAGAGAGGAGCUUGCUUCUCUUGAGAGCGGCGGACGGGUGAGUAAUGCCUAGGAAUCUGCCUGGUAGUGGGGGAUAACGUUCGGAAACGGACGCUAAUACCGCAUACGUCCUACGGGAGAAAGCAGGGGACCUUCGGGCCUUGCGCUAUCAGAUGAGCCUAGGUCGGAUUAGCUAGUUGGUGGGGUAAUGGCUCACCAAGGCGACGAUCCGUAACUGGUCUGAGAGGAUGAUCAGUCACACUGGAACUGAGACACGGUCCAGACUCCUACGGGAGGCAGCAGUGGGGAAUAUUGGACAAUGGGCGAAAGCCUGAUCCAGCCAUGCCGCGUGUGUGAAGAAGGUCUUCGGAUUGUAAAGCACUUUAAGUUGGGAGGAAGGGUUGUAGAUUAAUACUCUGCAAUUUUGACGUUACCGACAGAAUAAGCACCGGCUAACUCUGUGCCAGCAGCCGCGGUAAUACAGAGGGUGCAAGCGUUAAUCGGAAUUACUGGGCGUAAAGCGCGCGUAGGUGGUUAGUUAAGUUGGAUGUGAAAUCUCCGGGCUCAACCUGGGAACUGCAUUCAAAACUGACUGACUAGAGUAUGGUAGAGGGUGGUGGAAUUUCCUGUGUAGCGGUGAAAUGCGUAGAUAUAGGAAGGAACACCAGUGGCGAAGGCGACCACCUGGACUGAUACUGACACUGAGGUGCGAAAGCGUGGGGAGCAAACAGGAUUAGAUACCC